UUUGUAUAAUGGGUCAGCGACUUAUAUUCAGUGGCAAGGUUAACCAUCUAGGGGAGCCGUAGGGAAACCGAGUCUUAACUGGGCGUUCAGUCUCUGGAUAUAGACCCGAAACCAGGUGAUCUAGCCAUGGGCAGGUUGAAGGUUGAGUAACAUCAACUGGAGGACCGAACCGACUAAUGUUGAAAAAUUAGCGGAUGACUUGUGGCUAGGGGUGAAAGGCCAAUCAAACCUGGAGAUAGCUGGUUCUCCCCGAAAGCUAUUUAGGUAGCGCCUCGGACGAAUACUACUGGGGGUAGAGCACUGUUAAGGCUAGGGGGUCAUCCCGACUUACCAACCCUUUGCAAACUCCGAAUACCAGUAAGUACUAUCCGGGAGACACACGGCGGGUGCUAACGUCCGUCGUGGAGAGGGAAACAACCCAGACCGCCAGCUAAGGUCCCAAAUUACUACUAAGUGGGAAACGAUGUGGGAAGGCUCAGACAGCCAGGAUGUUGGCUUAGAAGCAGCCAUCAUUUAAAGAAAGCGUAAUAGCUCACUGGUCGAGUCGGCCUGCGCGGAAGAUGUAACGGGGCUAAGUAGUAAACCGAAGCUGCGGCAAUGUGCUUUUGCACAUUGGGUAGGGGAGCGUUCUGUAAGCGGUUGAAGGUGUGUGGUAACGCAUGCUGGACGUAUCAGAAGUGCGAAUGCUGACAUGAGUAACGAUAAAGGGGGUGAAAAACCUCCUCGCCGGAAGACCAAGGGUUCCUGUCCAACGUUAAUCGGGGCAGGGUAAGUCGACCCCUAAGGCGAGGCCGAAAGGCGUAGUCGAUGGGAAACGGGUUAAUAUUCCCGUACUUCUUACAAUUGCGAUGGGGGGACGGAGAAGGCUAGGUGGGCCUGGCGACGGUUGU
rnacentral:rRNA from 1 species